ACGCUCGACACCUACGAGAGGCAGCAGUGGGGAAUAUUGCACAAUGGGGGAAACCCUGAUGCAGCGACGCCGCGUGGAGGAAGAAGGUCUUCGGAUUGUAAACUCCUGUUGUUGGGAAAAAGAGGAUGGUACCCAACAAGGAAGUGACGGCUAACUACGUGCCAGCAGCCGCGGUAAUCUGAGCGGGCUGGCAAGGC
rnacentral:rRNA from 1 species